rnacentral:rRNA from 1 species
GCGCAGCAGGCGAGAAACCUCCGCAAUACACGAAAGUGUGACGGGGCCAUCCCGAGUGCCGUCCGCUGAGGACGGCUUUUCCCCAGUGUACACAGCUGGGGGAAUAAGGAGAGGGCAAGCCUGGUGUCAGCCGCCGCGGUAAUACCAGCUCUCCGAGUGGUGGGGACGCUUAUUGGGCCUAAAGCAUCCGUAGCCGGCUGGGCAAGUCCUCCGUUAAAUCCAACGAUUCAAUCGUUGGGCUGCGGGGGAUACUGUCCAGCUUGGGGGCGGGAGAGGCCGACGGUAUUCCCGGGGUAGGGGUGAAAUCCUAUAAUCCCGGGAGGACCACCAGUGGCGAAGGCUGUCGGCUAGAACGCGCCCGACGGUGAGGGAUGAAAGCUGGGGGAGCGAACCGGAUUAGAUACCCGGGUAGU